GUGCUCACUUCAGCAGCACAUACACUGAAAAUUGGAAGGAUACAGAGAAAUUAGCAUGCCCCCUGCACAAGGAUAACACGCAAAUUUAAAAAGUGUUCCAUGCUGUG
rnacentral:snRNA from 1 species